CCUACGGGAGGCAGCAGUGGGGAAUAUUGCUCAAUGGGCGAAACCCUGAUGCAGCGACGCCGCGUGAGUGAAGACGUAUUUCGGUAUUUAAAGCCCUAUCAGCCGGGAAGCAAAUCACGGUACCUGAUUAAGAAGCCCCGGCUAACUACGUGCCAGCAGCCGCGGUCAUCCGUAGGGGGCACGCGGUAUCCGGAUUCACUGGGGGGAAAGGGAGCGUAGACGGGAGCACAAGUCUGGAGGGAAAUGCCGGGGGUUAACCCCGGAACUGCGUUGGAAACUGUGGAGCUAGAGUGGAGGAGAGGUAAGUGGAAUUCCCAGUGUAGCGGUGAAAUGCGUAGAUAUUAGGAGGAACACCAGUGGCGAAGGCGGCUUACUGGAGUGUAACUGACGUUGAGGCACGAAAGCGUGGGGAGCAAACAGGAUUAGAUACCCGUGUAGUC
rnacentral:rRNA from 1 species